UGCAGGCUGCAACUCGCCUGCAUGAAGCUGGAAUUGCUAGUAAUCGCGGAUCAGCAUGCCGCGGUGAAUACGUUCCCGGGCCUUGUACACACCGCCCGUCACACCAUGAGAGUCGGGAACACCCGAAGUCCGUAGUCUAACCGCAAGGAGGGCGCGGCCGAAGGUGGGUCCGGUAAUUGGGGUGAAGUCGUAACAAGGUACC
rnacentral:rRNA from 1 species